UGUGAACGUGGGGCGGGUGGCGGGGGAAUGCGGUGGGGUGGAGGGGUAAGCGGAAUGGCGGGGCGUGAAUGGCAGGGAGGGGGGUGGGUAAGGGGGAUGGGAAAAGCCGUGGCUUCACCUAGGGAUAGGCUUUCGAACUGGGGAGCUAUGGUCUGGGAGAGGGGGGUAGAAUUCCAGGUGUAGCGGUGAAAUGCGGAGAGAUCUGGAGGAAUACCGGUGGCGAAGGCGGCCCCCUGGACAAAGACUGACGCUCAUGCACGAAAGCGUGGGGAGCAAACAGGAUUAGAUACCCUUGUAGUC
rnacentral:rRNA from 1 species